GGGACAGUGGCUCAGUGGUAGAGUGCUUGCCUUGCAUGCAUGAGGCCCUGGGUUCGAUUCCUCAGCACCA
rnacentral:tRNA from 1 species